rnacentral:rRNA from 1 species
CCCUUAGAUGUUCUGGGCAGAACGCGCGCUACAAUGGUCUUCGCAAACGGAUGCAUUCUCGAAGGAGAAUGCCAAUCUUGGAAUCUAUGCCUUGGUCGGGACAGUUGCUUGCAAUUUUUCGACUCGAACCAGGAAUUCCUUGUAAUCGUGAUUCAUCACAUCACGAUGAAUACGUCCCUGCCCUUUGUACACACCGCCCGUCGCUCCUACCGAUCGAAGAGUUAGGUGAAUUGUUUUGAUCGAUAAGAUUUGACUAUGGUCAACUCUCGUUGUGAAAUUCUGUGAAUCUGACUGUUUAGAGGAAGGAAAAGUCGUAACA